AAAACUCUGAGUUUGCGACAGUAGGUCUCGCUUUCCGGCCAACACUGAGGUUCCUGAAUGCUGGUUGGGGUGGUGAGGCCCGAGGCAGCUUCUGGAAUUUCUGAGCAGCCCUGGUCAGUACAAGAUGGACCCUGUAGUCUUGAGUUACAUGGACAGUCUACUGCGGCAAUCAGAUGUCUCACUAUUGGAUCCUCCAAGCUGGCUCAAUGACCAUAUUAUUGGGUUUGCCUUUGAGUACUUUGCCAACAGUCAGUUUCAUGACUGCUCUGAGUACGUCUGCUUCAUCAGCCCCGAAGUCACCCAGUUCAUCAAGUGCACUAGCAACCCAACAGAGAUCGCCAUGUUCCUUGAACCCCUGGAUCUCCCCCACAAGAGAGUUGUAUUUUUAGCCAUCAAUGAUAAUUCCAACCAGGCAGCUGGGGGAAGCCAUUGGAGUUUGUUGGUUUAUCUCCAAGAGAAAAAAACCUUUUUUCAUUAUGAUUCCCAUAGCAGAAGCAACUCAGUCCAUGCAAAGCAGGUAGCAGAGAAACUGGAGGCUUUCAUAGGCAGAAAAGGAGACAAACUGGCCUUUGUGGAAGAGAAAGCCCCUGCUCAACAAAACAGCUAUGACUGUGGGAUGUACGUGAUUUGUAACACUGAGGCCUUGUGUCAGAACUUCUUUAGGCAACAGCCAGAAUCACUAUUACAGCUGCUCACUCCUACGUACAUCACAAAGAAGAGGGGAGAAUGGAAAGAUCUCAUUGCCAGACUUGCUAAAAAUUAGCUGUUGAAGUGUAUUUUGUGACUUUUGAAGCCUCCUCUCUCUGCCCAUCCCCAUUUAUUGGAUGGCUGCAAUCUCAGUGCCUGAGGGAAGAUGCCUGGUAGAGGGAAGCUUAGGAUUUUUACUUUCUCUUGAAAGAAUGUCAUCCUCUGCAUUAUCCUAAUGAAAGUUUCACUUUAACCCUAGCUUGAGAGCAAUAUGUUCUGUGAAAAUGUCUUGAAGUUAUGCACCAAAACCUUAAGACCAAGCGAUUUUAAGAUUUAUUAAUUCCCUUUUGGUAUCCCUUAUCCAUAUUGGCUUAUUCCCAAGGAAAGGCAGUAAUCUGUAAAAUAAAUUAAGAAUAUGUGAAAUCUAGAGGAAUGCAAGAAGAAAACUAUUGAAGAACCAAAAACUUAUUGCACAGCCUACAUAUUUAAAGAGAUCAACUGGCUAGAAGCAGAUCAAGACCUAACCUAAUUCAAGAUUAAAUGCUAUGAAAAUCAUUUACUCAGUUCUGUGAUCUCUCUUCCAUUCACCAUGCAAAGUCUUUUCUGGCUGUCUGCGUAACUUUUGCAAAUAUUUGAUAGAGGUGAUGUUAUCCCAUCUUCCUCCAUCUGAUUCUUGAAUGCUUUAAGUAAGGGGGAACUUUAAGUAAUUUCAUUAAAAUAAAUGGCUAUAGUAGCCCUCUUAGUUUGCUCAGUGAAUGGGGUCAACUUGCUACUCUGGAUUGAUAACAGCUUUCCGUCACCAUGUCUAUUAGCCAUGGUACACUCCUUCCUUAUGUCCAAAUUUCUCUGGUUUUAAAACUCAUGGCUGAUAACUUUCCAAGGUUACCUGUUAUUUCAGAUUCUGUACAUGUGAAAGAUGAGAAGAACAAGAGCAGCGGCCUGGGGAGCCUCAUAAACAAGAGAGAGCUUAGAGGAACUGUGUCAAGUAAAUGCAACUAAGCAAAGAUGGAGCACUCAGUACAAGAUGGGAGGAGUGGUCACCAAGUUCCAAAAUGAGGCAAAUGAAAUUCCACUAAGGAAAAAUCAAGUGCAAAAUGCAUUUAAAUUAAGUUUUCUUAUGUAGGGAAAAACAUGUCAGAGUGUCAAAGGAAGUGGUAGGCAACUUCACUGUCAGUAGUAGGGAAGAGUGGUCAUUACUAUGGAAAAAAUUAAUUUUAGAUCCUGCAGUUUGUGUUAAAGGACGAGAAGAAUUACUUCCUGGCUCUUUUCCCUCCCUGUAACCAAAUGCAGCAACCUGUACU